rnacentral:rRNA from 1 species
UACGUAGGGUGCGAGCGUUAAUCGGAAUUACUGGGCGUAAAGCGUGCGCAGGCGGUUCGCCAAGUCAGGUGUGAAAUCCCCGGGCUUAACCUGGGAAUUGCGCUUGAAACUAGCGGGCUUGAGUGUGGCAGAGGGGGGUGGAAUUCCACGUGUAGCAGUGAAAUGCGUAGAUAUCCGGAGGAACACCGGUGGCGAAGGCGGCUUCCUGGACCGAUACUGACGCUGAGGCGCGAAAGCUAGGGGAGCAAACGGG